CAAGGUUAUGCAACUGCUGCGUGGGGCAGGCAGGACAGCUGUCCCGAGCCCUUGCCGGAUCCCCUGCCUGCAGCACGUGCUGAUCUCCAAGGGUGAGGCUGGAUGAAGCCAGGGGCUAUGGAAAGGGAGACUGUUUCAGAGGACUUGACACCAUCUUCAGUAAUUUCUCUGGUUCUUGGCAGCUCCAUUUGGCUGCGUCCCUACCCUGCAUAACCCUCCCAGCUAGUCUACUCCAGGGCAGCGUCCAGCUGGUGACCUGAGAGGGCAGUGGCGCACCAGUCUCCAUGAAGGUUGAGCUCCGAUGGCCAACGGCCAUUUCCACCUUGUGGUCUACAACUCUUCAUCCCGACUGCAUGGAGGUUGGUCUCUCUCUUCAGCUGGAUUUAGGCCACCAUCUGAGCCCCCGGGGUACGUUUUGUCUGACCCUGGCGCCAUUCGAACGGUUCUUCUACAGCAUCAGGCGUUCACCUGGCUCCUAGGGCUUUUGUGCUGUAGGCCUAUAUUUCCAGCUACUUUUGGAAAAAAUCUCUCUGGAGGCUCAAUGAGCUUGUCACAUCAGCCUGCCCAGAGUAUCAAGAAAGACUUAAUCAGCAGUGAAUACUCUCCACCAAGCCCUUGACCCAUUGUCAGUCUCUGGCAUCAGAUCCUUUCCAGUAGGGCAAAGUGCAACUGCAGCCAGCUCAUGCCUUCAAGAGAAGGACUGAAGAUCAUUGUGUGCCUAAACCAAUUCUCUUUCCUGCCACCAUGUGAAGAAGGACAUGUUUGCUUCCCCUUCUGCCAUGAAUGGACAGGGUCCUGCUGUGUUGCCCAGGCUGGCCUUGAACUCCUGGCUUCAAACAGUCUUCCCACUUGGGCUCCCAAAGUGCUGGGAUUAAAGGGGCGAGUUACAGCACCAGGACCUGAAAUGUGACACCCCUGCUCCCCAUUCACCCUCCGCUAUCAGUAAAAGCUUCCUCAGACCUCACCAGAAGCUGGACAGAUAGAUGCUGGUGCCAAGCUUGUACAGACUGCAGAACCAUGGGCCAAAUAAACCUCUUUUCUUUAUAAA
ensembl:lncRNA PPP1R3B-DT PPP1R3B divergent transcript